CGCUGCUUCUCCAAUUUUUUCCUUUUGCCCCCCGAAAGAGAAUUCGAAGAAGUUGUUUGUUGCGCACAGAUAUGCGGGUCCUCUGGAUUCUUCAUGAGCUUUUGGAAGUAUUACAAUCCGCGGCGACACGUCAUUUA
ensembl:ncRNA F49E10.13 ncRNA